CAGAUACCAUCUGGCAUAGAAGUUAGGCAUCAAGAUGAAACUACUCUGGUGUCUCCUAGUUUAUACUGGUCUGACUUUACAAGAAAACAUUACUCAAUUUCCCAGUUUUGUAUCUGAAAUUGAAGGUGGUGAGAUUACUCUGAACUGCACUUAUGAAUACAAAGGUAGCUCAGCUCAGCUUUCUCUGCAGUGGUACAAACAAAAUCAGAAUGGAGUCCCUUAUUAUAUGAUACAGAGUUACAGUGCUGGCCAGGACACUUUUCAAUCAAAAGAAAAAGAUAUUGGAAAUCGUCAUUCAACAUCUCUUAAUUUGUCUCUCCAAAGUACAUCUUUAACAAUAAACAGACUAAUGAUGAGUGAUUCAGGAAUGUAUUACUGUGCUCUGAGGCCCACAGCAGUACAACAUCCUGUAGAUGCUUUACCAAAAAGUAAACAAACAUAUUUCCAUUCCUCGAUUUCAAUAUCUGUAAUAGUGGCUUUUUCUUUUAUUAUAAAUGUAGUAAUAAGUGAGGACUGAAACUG